AGCGCAGUCCGGUAGCGCGCCUGGUUUGGGACCAGGUGGUCGCAGGUUCGAAUCCUGUC
rnacentral:tRNA from 1 species